ensembl:lncRNA
AUGGUUGUGUAUUACGCUCUUAGUUUCACUCCUUUGAACUCUAAAACCCUCUUAGUGAGAGAGUCGUGGCGAUAUGAGAGAUGGCGCUACACUGUUGUAAUAAGUAACUGUAAAUGUUACUGUACAGGGUCUGGAGUCACACACGUGUGUCCUUCAGUGUCCAUCUGUCUGUCUGCUGUCUGGAAGACACUGACUUCUGUCUUUCCCCUUAGAGUUGCAGCCAAUGGGUUCAUAGAGAUGGACGCUGACUCUAUGGAUUUUCCUCUCUCUGUUGAGGAGACCCGACCAGAACCAGUCCAGAGUUCAGUGCGUCCGUGUCCAUUCACUCACAGAGGAUGAUGAGGAUGAUGAGGAUGAUGAUGAAGAUGACCAGCUUCAGGGGUCAAUAGAUAAACCGAUGUGCUGGACAUUCACAUUUUUCUUCACUUUGUAUGAAAUGGUUUCUGUGAACACUUAUUAAAACUAUGAUUAUUAAAUGAAAUUUCAUUUUUUUUUUUUACAUUUCCAUCUUUAGAUCUGUUUGCUCAUCUCUAAAUUAACGACUACAGGACGUUUCCUAUCAGAUGUCAAAUAGACGUUUAGAAGAUGUCUUUAAGAUGUUUAUGAUUUAAAAUGAAUUUAAAACUGACGUCUUAAAGACGUCUACACAGCAGAUGUUUUCCAGAUGAAGAGAUCCUUAAUAGACCUCUUGCAGACAUGCGUGUGCUAUCUGGAAAAGCAUUUGCUAUUGAUUAAAAGGAAAAAUUUAAAUAAAUAAUUUAAAGAUGAAACCA